GGAUGUGAUCAUACCAGCACUAAAGCACCGGAUCCCAUCAGAACUCCGAAGUUAAGCGUGCUUGGGCGAGAGUAGUACUAGGAUGGGUGACCUCUUGGGAAGUCCUUCUGUUGCAUUCC
rnacentral:rRNA from 1 species